rnacentral:rRNA from 1 species
CGCGGCCUAUCAGCUUGUUGGUGGGGUAACGGCCUACCAAGGCGGUGACGGGUAGCUGGCGUGAGAGCGUGGCCAGCCACACUGGGACUGAGACACGGCCCAGACUCCUACGGGAGGCAGCAGUAGGGAAUCUUGCGCAAUGGGCGAAAGCCUGACGCAGCGACGCCGCGUGAGGGAUGAAGGCCUUCGGGUUGUAAACCUCUUUCAGUAGGGAAGAAGCGAAAGUGACGGUACCUGCAGAAGAAGCGCCGGCUAACUACGUGCCAGCAGCCGCGGUAAUACGUAGGGCGCAAGCGUUAUCCGGAAUUAUUGGGCGUAAAGAGCUCGUAGGCGGUUUGUCGCGUCUGCCGUGAAAGUCCGGGGCUCAACUCCGGAUCUGCGGUGGGUACGGGCAGACUAGAGUGAUGUAGGGGAGACUGGAAUUCCUGGUGUAGCGGUGAAAUGCGCAGAUAUCAGGAGGAACACCGAUGGCGAAGGCAGGUCUCUGGGCAUUACCUGACGCUGAGGAGCGAAAGUGUGGGGAGCGAACAGGAUUAGAUACCCUGGUAGUCCACACCGUAAACGUUGGGCGCUAGGUGUGGGACUCAUUCCACGAGUUCCGUGCCGCAGCUAACGCAUUAAGCGCCCCGCCUGGGGAGUACGG